rnacentral:rRNA from 1 species
AUUGAACGCUGGCGGAAUGCUUUACACAUGCAAGUCGAACGGCAGCACGGACUUCGGUCUGGUGGCGAGUGGCGAACGGGUGAGUAAUACAUCGGAACGUGCCCAGUCGUGGGGGAUAACGUAGCGAAAGCUACGCUAAUACCGCAUACGAUCUAAGGAUGAAAGCGGGGGAUCGCAAGACCUCGCGCGAUUGGAGCGGCCGAUGGCAGAUUAGGGAGUUGGUGGGGUAAAGGCCUACCAAGCCGACGAUCUGUAGCGGGUCUGAGAGGACGACCGGCCCACCGUGGACUGAGACACGGCCAAGACUCCUACGGGAGGCAGCAGUGGGGAAUUUUGGAAAAGGGGCGCAAGCCUGUUUCAGCCAUUCCGCGUGCAGGAUGAAGGCCCUCGGGUUGUAAACUGCUUUUGUACGGAACGAAAAGGCUCUGGUUAAUACCCGGGGCUCAUGACGGUACCGUAAGAAUAAGCACCGGCUAACUACGUGCCAGCCGCCGCGGUAA